AGUGUGAAAGUGAGUGAUUCCUACUCUUGCUCUUUCUUUAGACACUAAGCCAGAGCUCGAUGAUGUGACCUCAGUGAUUACAGUGAUUGUGGUGGUGAUAGGUGUUUGUCUGAUUGUCCUGGCAGCAGCCAUUUAUUUAAUGUGGCAACGCAAAGGAUCAAGAACAUCUCCCCAGAGCAGUUACACUAGUGCCUCUAGUGAAGAUGAACGUGGGAUGCCCUUAGAGCCUGUCACAUCCUAGAACAC